rnacentral:rRNA from 1 species
CCUACGGGUGGCAGCAGUGAGGAAUAUUGGUCAAUGGGCGCAAGCCUGACCCAGCAACGCAGCGUGAAGGAAGAAGGCUCUCUGGUUGUAAACUUCUUUUCUCAGGGACGAAGCAAGUGACGGUACCUGAGUAUUAAGCCACGGCUAACUACUUGCCAGCAGCCGCGGUAAUACGUAGGUGGCAAGCGUUAUCCGGAUUUACUGGGUGUAAAGGGAGUGUAGGCGGGAAAGCAAGUCAGAUGUGAAAACCAUGGGCUCAACCUGAGGACUGCAUUUGAAACUGUUUUUCUUGAGUACUGGGGAGGUAGACGGAAUUCGUGGUGUAGCGGUGAAAUGCGUAGAUAUUAGGAGGAACACCAGUGGCGAAGGCAGUCUGCUGGACAGUAACUGACGCUGAGGCGCGAAAGCGUGGGGAGCAAACAGGAUUAGAUACCCGAGUAGUC